rnacentral:misc_RNA from 1 species
GGUGAAGAACGCAGCGAAAUGCGAUACGUAAUGUGAAUUGCAGAAUUCCGUGAAUCAUCGAAUCUUUGAACGCACAUUGCGCCCGCCAGCAUUCUGGCGGGCAUGCCUGUUCGAGCGUCAUUUCAACCCUCGACGUCCCCCGGGACGUCGGCCUUGGGGACCGGCAGCACCCCGCCGGCCCUGAAAUGGAGUGGCGGCCCGUCCGCGGCGACCUCUGCGAAGUACUACAGCUCGCACCGGAAACCCGACGCGGCCCCGCCGUGAAACCCCCAACUCUGAACGUUGACCUCGGAUCAGGUAGGACUACCCGCUGAACUUAAGCAUAUCAAUAAGCGGAGGA